GAUGAACGCUGGCGGCGUGCCUAAUACAUGCAAGUCGAACGCUGGAAAUCUAGCUUGCUAGAUUGAAGGAGUGGCGAACGGGUGAGUAAUACAUAAGCAACCUACCCACGAAGACUGGGAUAAUCUCUGGAAACGGGGACUAAUACCGGAUAGGUAAUCGGAAGGCAUCUUCUGAUUAUUAAAGGUUAAAAACACUGGUGGAUGGGCUUAUGGCGCAUUAGUUAGUUGGUGAGGUAACGGCCCACCAAGACGAUGAUGCGUAGCCGGCCUGAGAGGGUGAAGGGCCAGAUGGGGACUGAGACACGGGCCAGACUCCUACGGGAGGGAGCAGUAGGGGAGGUUCGGGAAGGGGGGAAACCCUGACCGAGCAACGCCGGGUGAGUGAGGACGGCCUUCGGGAUGUAGAGCUUUGUUGUAAGGGAAGAACGGUAGAUAGAGAAUAUCUAAAUGACGGUACCUGAUCAGAAAGCAACGGCUAACUACGUG
rnacentral:rRNA from 1 species